UGCGCAGGCGGUUGUGCAAGACAGAUGUGAAAUCCCCGGGCUUAACCUGGGAAUGGCAUUUGUGACUGCACAGCUAGAGUGUGUCAGAGGGGGGUAGAAUUCCACGUGUAGCAGUGAAAUGCGUAGAGAUGUGGAGGAAUACCGAUGGCGAAGGCAGCCCCCUGGGAUAACACUGACGCUCAUGCACGAAAGCGUGGGGAGCAAACA
rnacentral:rRNA from 1 species